rnacentral:rRNA from 1 species
UGGGGAAUCUUGGGCAAUGGGCGAAAGCCUGACCCAGCAAUAUCGCGUGAGUGAAGAAGGGCAGAUAGCUUGUAAAACUCUGUCAUCGAGUUUGAGAUAAUGACAAGACUCGAAGAGGAAGCCCCGGCUAACUACGUGCCAGCAGCAGCGGUAAAACGUGGGGGGCAAGUGUUAUUCGGAAUGACUAGGCGUAAAGGGCAUGUAGGCGGUUAAUCAGGCUGAAAGUGAAAGCCGCCAGCUAAACUGGUGAAAUACUUUCAACACCAAUUGACUUGAGUAAGAUAGAGGAAAGUGGAAUUUCGUGUGUAGAGAUAAAAUUCACAGAUAUACGAAGGAAGGCCAAAAGCGAAGGCAACUUUCUGGGUCUUUACUGACGCUGAGGUGCGAAAGCAUGGGGAGCAAACA